rnacentral:lncRNA from 1 species
UAGAUAAUGUGUAAGUAAAGGCUGGAACUGCUGCAUCCAUUUUGCCACCAUGAGGAAGCCAGGCUGCUGCUGUAUGAAAAGCAUAACAGGAAGCUUGAAAGAAACUAGCGCUGGAUGACAUUGGUGAAAUGAAAGGGAAGGAGACAUUCAGCAUCAAGUCUCAAUGUGUGGUGUGAAACAAACACACCCAGCCCCACAGAGGCAUCUUCCCUGGGGCAAUCUCAGAGUUUGCUCAUGGGAGGGGCAAAACCAGAGGAGAAAUGACAGCAGGUGUUCUUGCAUUGCCAUUCUUGUCCAGGCUGAUCUGCUCCCCAGACAGAGACAGUGCCAUUUCCAGGAUUGCCAGGCCAACCCUCCUCUUUCUGGAUCAAUCACAUCCCACUCAAUAAGGUAUUAAUCCUGUGGAGCUUUCUGUACUGCAACGUACCUCCCAGUAAAUGGGCUUGGGCUUAAUCAUUCAGCAGAGAUGAGGAUGCAGGUAGUACCUAUAUCAAACAGCCUUGAGAAAGACGACGUGCAGGUACUAAGGAGAGAGGCAAUUCCCCUGUAAGAGUCCCCUUUGCUAAUUCACCAGUGUUUCUCAGCCCCAGGAAGCCAAGUGGCAUUGUAGUUAACAUAACCUUGGUCUUUUGGCAGACAAGAGUUGGGGUUCCUCUUUUACCCAAUAGCAGAAGUCUUCUGGUCUGAGGCUUACUCUAAUGAUGCUCCUUUUUCCCAUGAAUGAAAUGGGAAAAUAAGAUCUUGCGGUGUUGUGGGAGGAUCUUAAAGAUUAAGUGCUUGGAAAACUCUCAGCACACUGCCUGACGUGUAGAAAGUAUGCUGAAAAUGUUAAAUUGUGUCUACCAGAAAUCCCUUCAGGGACCCCCCAAUUUGAUCCCUAGAAAAACCUUGACCUGAACUAGAAGCUGAGAUCCUGAAUGGAUCCUGAAUGGGAGUAGCCCUGUUUUACAUGAUGUAAGAGGAAAGUUUCACCUGUUUCCCCACACGGGCGGGAGAGAGAAAGGAAAGAGAAGACAGCUGCAUGGAUGAAGACCUUGCGCAGUGCAGUGACCUCUCCUCAGCGAGCCCCACCAGAUCUUCAGGAAAGUCAAUGAACUCAUGAUAUCUUGGUCCAAAUGCAGGCGGGGGGGUGGUUAAGGCAGUGAACUUCACACCCAUGCUGAUGUGUGUUGGAGCCAAAGUCACAACUGUGAAAGCAGGAAGUGGACACAGACAGAAGUUUGAGGCACAAAGCUCCAGGGACUCUCAGGAACAGGGGAAAGUCUUUGAACCUCCCUGCCACCGAGACCAUACAAUAGGAAUACAAAUAGGAAUUUAGGCUAAGUCCAAUUGGAUCUCAAAAAAGCAGGUGGCUUCAACUGACAACAGGGUACAUCAUUAUUAUCAUCAUGAUCAUCACCAUCACUGCCAUCACCAACAUCAUCAAAUGAUGUUGUCUGCCUAUGGAAUGCAAAAAGCUGAUUUUCGGCAACCAAAGCUAGGGCCCUGGAAGCUAACACAUUCUUAACCAGGGCUGCAUUACCUAAGAACUUCUGUUUUUUCACUCACCUGAUUGUGGAAAUAUCAAACUACCUCUACGCUCACUAUUCCCCAUCAGUGAGUGUCUGUAAGUUAUCCCUUGCCUUUUCCUACUCUUGCCAGCCAUUUUUCAGUCCAGCAGCAAUGGCUUUUCCUGGGUCUGGAAGUCUCCUGGUCUCCCACUUAGGUGACUCACUAUUCCGAAGCCACUUUUCUGCACUGCAGUAAGCCCCCAGUUACAAAUUACUUACCUGCUGGCCAUCAUUUUAAUGUAAAUGGAUUUUAAAAAGCAGCAAAGGAAUAUAUUUUCAUUUGGAGUUAAAGCAUCCAUUUUUUAUUUGAGUGUGAGCCUGGUCUAGGAGAGAUGGCAGAAGAAUGGCUCCAAGGCUAAUAUGGUUAAUGAUUAUGAUGGAGAUCCCAUGAGCAGCCGAUAUUUCACUUGCAACCAUCUCGAUCCGGGCUUUGCUGGCUGCAGUACUUUCUUUUUUUCACAGCUACUUCCAUUAACACCCACCGCCUAUGAUAGAACCAUUAUGAUAAUAUCUCUGCUUUCGGCAGCCUCAAUUGGUCUUGACACAUUAUCACCCUAAGAGCUUAGCCACGUCGCACUAAGUCCUAUUUAUAAUAACCCUUGGCAGGAGCUACCAAAAUAAAACCUGGUACUUAUGAACUACCUUUCAUCUGAGGAAAUCAGAAAGCUUUACAAGCUUAAUUAAGCUUCAGCAUCUAUCUGACUGAUGAGAUAUGUGGGGCCUUGGAAAGCUGAGGAGGCACAGAAUCACUAAUUGUGCACUGGAUAAAUCUCUGGGUGGCAACGAAGAAUAGAAAUCAACAAAGAAGAACGAGAGUCACCUCUUUUAGUGGGAGUGUUUGUUGAGUGAAUUUUUUCAGGGUGGGUUGAGACCAACAAUCAUAGGUUAUUGAUGAAGGGGCCAUGGAGGGUCUCUAAUGAGGUGGCUCUCAAUCUAGGGCGGGGGCCUGAGAUUUACUUCUUUUGCCAAAAGAGGAUUAAGCUAAUUCAACACACUCAAGGGCUUUCAAGGACAAAGAAAUUGAGCUCCUGAAAGAUGUGGUAAUCUGCCUGUGGGCACACAGCUGUUGAGCUCACACACUGUUCCCUCUACUUGGCUGAAUCUCCCACCCCACCUGUAAAUCUCCACUUCCCCUUCAAGACUCAUCUUAACACCUGCCUCCUCGGUGAAGCCUUCCUGGACUUCCCUGGCAGAAUCAGUCACUCCCUAUUCUAUGCUCCUGCGUGUGCUUUCUAUUUCCAUAAUAUCUACAGCAAUUGAUAUUUAUUGAGUCCUUUCUAAGUGCUUAAGGUACAUUUUAUCCAUACAAUAAUGAGGCAGGUACAGUUACCAUCUCCAUUCUACAGAUGAGUUAAGUGGUCCGGAGAGGCUAAGUGAUUUUCCCAAGAUGGUACAGCUCAUAGGUGCAAGACUCAGCCUGGCUGCAGAGCACAUGUUCCAAAACAUUAAACCACACUACUUUCCCAGUAGCCCAGUUGUGAUGGAAGAGAUCUGUUUGUUUAUAAGUCAGCCUCCUUCCUUAGUUUGUAAGCUCUGAUGUGAAAGGGUAUGUCAUUCAGGAGAAUUUGGGCUGCAAACAACAGAAACCCCAACUCAGAGUAGCUUAAACCACAGGAAAUCUAGAGGAAGGGCAUUUCCAGAGUUGAUUAACUUGGGGGCUUGGUGACAUCAGCAAGGAUCCAGGUUCCUUCCAUCUCUCUACUCUGCCUUCCUGAUUGUGUGAACGUAGUUCCCCUUGCAUUAACAUGACUUCCUCAGUUCCAGGCCUCCCAUCCAGCCUGAACCAUGCAGAAAAGGUGCCAUAUCUUUCUUGUGUCUCUGUAAGAGUACAGACAACUUUUCCAGAAACCUUCCACUGGGCUUCCCCCGUAACAUUCACUAGCCAGAAUGGUCUCACAUGCCUAAGCCUUAACCAGUCACUGCAAGGAAUUGAAAGCACCAUGACUGGUUCAGCCCAAACAGGAUUCAGCAUCCCUUAAAGGUUAAAGGCACAGAGGAUGAAGGUAGAGACCUGCCAAAAAGGAGGAAGGGAAGGCGGAGGAUGAAAAGAAGACAACAAACGUUCCCUGAUGCAGGUGUGAAGGAAGAUCUGAUGCCCAAUCACUUAUUCCUCAGUCCUUUGGCCUUUACCAUGUGGGCAACAAAUGUCUGUGGAACUAAAUUAUAGUAGAGAAAUUCAUGUCUCCAAAUGCCCAGUCCAGAAUUCUUACCAUCAUACUCUGUAACCAGGACUGAAAUAUGUGUUGGCGACUGCUCUAAAAUUUACUAAAUUGAUUCACCGGUGCUCCAACCUUUAGAUUCGAGUCUUUAACACUAGUGUCUGCAGGAACCUUUGCAAAGCAGGUCCAAAAGAGAGCUAGGUGGAAUAAAGAGAAUCGUAAAAAUGUGUCUCAUCACAAUUUACAAGGUUCUUGUCAACCAUGACUUUCUUUCCAGAAACACAAUGUGUUCUUAAAAGUGGGACUUGUUCAAGCAGAUAGGUUCAUUGCAUUCAAAGACUACUCUAUUUCCUGACCUCCUUCUAGCUCUCCAGUAGGAUUUAUCUGGAACCAGGCAUCAAUAUACCCACCCUUGACAGCCAAGAAUGUGAGAAUGAGAUCAGUUAAGCAAUUUUUGGAAGACCCAGAUCAUAGUCAAAUAGAGAUACCAAGAAAAGGAAACUGAUCCUCAAGCAGAAACAUAAUGUACCCUAGGGUAGAAAAGACGGGAAGGAGGGAAUGGCUUAGUUCAGGCUUACUAUAACAGAGCGCCAUUGGCUGGGGUAGUUUAAACAACAAACAUUUGAGCGGGCGCAGGGGAUCACACCUGUAAUCCCAGCACUCUGAGAGGCCAAGGCGGGGGGAUCAUUUGAGGCCAGGAGUUUGAGACCUGCCUGGCCAACAUGGAGAAACCCCAUCUCUACCAAAAAUAAAACUAAAAAUAAAAAAAAUUAGCCGGACGUAAUUGUGGUGGCACACACCUGUAAUCCCAGCUACUCGAGAGGCUGAGGCAAGAAAAUUGGCUGAGGCAAGAAAAUCAGUGUAGGUUGCAGUGAGCCGAGAUUGUGCCACUGUACUCCAGCCUGGGUGAUAGAGCAAGACUCUGCCUCAAAAAAAAAUAUAUAGAUAGAUACAUAGAUAGAUAGAUGAU